UACGUAGGCAGCAAGCGUUGUUCGGAGUUACUGGGCGUAAAGGGUGCGUAGGCGGCUUCUUAAGUCUGGUGUGAAAUCUCCCGGCUCAACUGGGAGGGUGCGCCGGAUACUGAGGGGCUAGAGUGUGGGAGAGGAAAGUGGAAUUCCUGGUGUAGCGGUGAAAUGCGUAGAUAUCAGGAGGAACACCGGUGGUGUAAACGGCUUUCUGGACCAUAACUGACGCUGAGGCACGAAAGCAUGGGUAGCAAACAGG
rnacentral:rRNA from 1 species